GAUGAACGCUAGCGGCAGGCUUAACACAUGCAAGUCGAGGGGCAACACGGGUAGCAAUACCUGGUGGCGACCGGCGCAAGGGUGCGUAACGCGUGAGCAACAUGCCCUAUACAGGGGGAUAAUCCAGGGAAACUUGGUCUAAUAUCCCAUAGUAUUUAGAGGUGGCAUCACCACUAAAUUAAAGCUUCGGUGGUAUAGGAUUGGCUCGCGUGACAUUAGCUGGAUGGUGGGGUAACGGCUCACCAUGGCGAUGAUGUCUAGGGGUUCUGAGAGGAAGACCCCCCACACUGGGACUGAGACACGGCCCAGACUCCUACGGGAGGCAGCAGUGAGGAAUAUUGGACAAUGGAUGGAAAUCUGAUCCAGCCAUGCCGCGUGCAGGAAGACGGCCCUAUGGGUUGUAAACUGCUUUUAUAUGGGAGCAAUAAGGUCUACGUGUAGACUGAUGAGAGUACCAUAUGAAUAAGCAUCGGCUAACUCCG
rnacentral:rRNA from 1 species